AUAGAGGCAUCGACGGAUUAGAGGCACGGCACGGUUUCAUUCAUGCACUUCGGCGAGCGGCGAUCAUUAUCACGCCAAAAGCCUUGUCAUGCAAAGUCGAAAACAGACCGCAAGCCAAUACAUUUCAGAGGAGCCCGAGUCCCGAACACGAAUAUUCAGGUCUCCGGCAGCCCCCACUAUCCAAGCUCCACUCGAAGUCAAUCGAGAGGAGUUGAGAAUUUACUGACGCUCAAACAGGCAUGCUCCUCGGAACACCGAGGAGCGCAAGGUGCGUUCAAAGAUUCGAUGAUUCACUGUAGAUCUGCAAUUCACAUUACAUAUCGCUAUUCGCUGCGUUCUUCAUCGAUGCGAGAGCCAAGAGAUCCAUUGCUGAAAGUUGUAAUAACUUUUGUCUCAAAGAAUCGCAUCUCCUAGAAGUCGCGACUCGAUGAUAGUAAAAACAUUCAAAGACUUUCUACACGAAGAGGGGCAUAUGAAGACGCAGAGGUUGACCCUCCGCGCCCAUACGACCAAAGUCCAGAAAGAAAGCGUGCACGUGCCUA
rnacentral:misc_RNA from 1 species